rnacentral:tRNA from 1 species
GACCCGGUAGCUCAGUUGGAUAGAGCAACGGCCUUCUAAGCCGUCGGUCGGGGGUUCGAAUCCCUUCCGGGUCGCCA